rnacentral:rRNA from 1 species
UGAGGAAUAUUGGUCAAUGGGCGCAAGCCUGAACCAGCCAUCCCGCGUGCAGGAAGAAGGCGCUAUGCGUUGUAAACUGCUUUUCCAGGGGGCGAACGUUUCGUACGUGUACGGGAGUGACGGUACCUUGGGAAUAAGCAUCGGCUAACUCCGUGCCAGCAGCCGCGGUAAUACGGAGGAUGCGAGCGUUAUCCGGAUUUAUUGGGUUUAAAGGGUGCGUAGGCGGAUUAAUAAGUCAGUGGUGAAAGUCUGCAGCUUAACUGUGGCACUGCCGUUGAUACUGUUAGUCUUGAGUAUGGUCAAGGUAGGCGGAAUGUGUAAUGUAGCGGUGAAAUGCUUAGAUAUUACACAGAACACCGAUUGCGAAGGCAGCUUACUGGGCCGUUACUGACGCUGAUGCACGAAAGCGUGGGGAUCGAACAG